UAGCCAGAAGAACAAAACCUCGGGAUGGUGACAUGGUUGCUGCCCUCACCUUUAACCCUGGAUAGCAUCAAACUCGCCCACACCAAGGAAUCAUCUCGCUACCUCGUAUCCUGUUUAGGGCAUUACAAUGAUAUCGAUUUUGAUUCUGGCCUUAGACGCUGGAUUCCUUCUUCCUGGUCAGUGUAAUCUUUCUACUGUUCAUGCAUAUUCAAGGCCUUUAUUGAAGAGCAUCAAUGGCCCUCUAUGUGGCGUAAUGGGAUUGGUUACGGAGUCUUGACAUGGGCCUGCAGCCGAAAUUAAAAUUUUGGGGAUGUGAAGGUGAGGCAUAUGCUUUGCAGGUUGAUUUACGUACAGGAAAGCCUGGCUCGCUUAUUUUGGACUUGUCAUGCUUAUUGCUCAAUGUGACAGCAUGCGCUUGCAUGACCCGUAUCUACGGAGUCGGGUUCAAUGAAACGAUAGCAUUCAUUUCCCACCAUUCGACAUAACUUUGAUGAUAAUAUCAACUGGUCAUUGGGUGCAAUACCCAUCUGAAGAAUUGCAGAUCAAAAUAUUUGACCAGAUGUAGAAAGUACUUGGAAUCUUCUUCAGUCGGUACUACCCGUUGAACUAAAACCCCCUCUUCUCUAGAAAGUUCUGAAGAAUCGGAUAACACGGCUUUUCGCACAACUGCAUUGAGGCAUGGUUCAUAUGACGUACGAAUCAAUUCUUCGUAAUACGUAGCAGGCAAGCAACCAGUUGACAAGCUCUGUGGUUAGUUUGCGUUACACCGCAUAUCUCCGGGAAAAGAAGUUUCAUCCUACGGGGAUCCGUUCAGUUGGGUAUCAAUGAUCAUUGGAAGGGUAGGGGAAUUCAUGAGAAGAUUGGCUGAGAGAGUUGCGAUUGGUGGUUAUAAUAUGUACUCUCGCCCCAUGUUGCCGGGCAAUUCACCAGCAGAAACAUACAGAGUCCUAUCCCUACCAUCCACGAUUCCAAGACUGGAAAAUGCCCACAACAUACUGAUUCAAUUGAGAAUCGGAGUCACAAAACUACACAGGAGAAUCGUUCUGAACCUUCUACGAGAGAAUGCAUUGCUUCAAAAGUGAAGAAAUCGCCCUGAUGAACCUCUAAUACCCGAUGCGCAGGAAGGUACAAUCCACCAAUAGCGAAAUUUAUCUUUCAUCCAGCAUCAUUCUACUCAUGGAUGUUCCCAUGGCUUUGGGAGACGUCACUCUUCGGAGAGAGCACUUACACUUCACCUGUCCAGCCUAUCCACCGGGGCCUGAUCAGGGCCUCUUUAUAGCGUGAUGGCCCCAUAACGAUGUCUCCCAGUCUCUAGCUCGUGGGCACUCCUACUGGGCUCUAACGCCUAUUCUUCCCAUCAUCUCUGCCCAAAUCAACCCUGUGAAGCCUCCAGUCCCCAACCUGUACCCCUUGACUACGCUAAAUGCUUAGGAAUACCGUAGUUUGUUCAAGUGCAUUUUAUUUGGGUACUUUUCCCCACUUUACAAGUACUUCUUUUUUUCUUCAACUGCAAUUUAUAUUGAUCACUACUUCUUCAUCUUAAGUUUUAUGGCAUGUUAUUUUCAAGUCGUAGCACUCGCAAACAUUUGAGACUUGUGUGAUUAAGAGUGAAGAAGAUGUCUUCGGAAUUCUCCCCACUCCUUAUAACUGAUUAGUCAGU
rnacentral:lncRNA from 1 species